GGGCAUCUUUACACAGAAGAAAUCUGUGGGA
rnacentral:piRNA from 1 species